AGCGAACGCUGGCGGCAGGCUUAACACAUGCAAGUCGAGCGGGCACUUCGGUGUCAGCGGCAGACGGGUGAGUAACACGUGGGAACGUACCCUUUGGUUCGGAAUAACGCUGGGAAACUAGCGCUAAUACCGGAUACGCCCUUUUGGGGAAAGGCUUGCUGCCGAAGGAUCGGCCCGCGUCUGAUUAGCUAGUUGGUGGGGUAAUGGCCUACCAAGGCGACGAUCAGUAGCUGGUCUGAGAGGAUGAUCAGCCACACUGGGACUGAGACACGGCCCAGCCCCUCCGGGGAGGAGGCAGGGGGGAAUAUUGAAAAAGGGGCGAAAGCUGGACCCCCCCUUGCGGGGUGGGGAUGGAGGCCCUUGGGUUUGAAAGCCUUUUUGGCCGGGGAGGUAAAGGAGGGUACGGAAAAAAUAACCCCCGGCUACCUUGGGC
rnacentral:rRNA from 1 species